UGCAGAAGAGCAUCCAGAGACACUUUGACAAUAUGUCCAAACUGUGUGACUUUAACAUGUACAACAUCCGCUAUGCCGUGGCCCUGUCCAAGCAGAGGGGCAUGAAGAGAGCAGCUGAGGAUGAUGUUAAGGAGGAGGAGGAGGAGGAGGAUGAAGAGGAGCUGUCUGAGGAGAUGAGUGAGGCCUCUGUGGAGGAUGCAGAGAUGAUGCUGUAGUUCUGACCUCAUUCUAACAACAUCAAAACAAAUGGAGAACAAUAAUAUUGGACUGUCAUAUCAAAUAGAUUAUGUUUGUAAACUGUGUUUUUUAUUAAAUUCAUGUGUAAAUGUGCAA